rnacentral:misc_RNA from 1 species
CUGAAAUCAGACAAAAAAAAGUUGCUUCUGAAAUCAGACAAAAAAAAAAGUUGCUUCUGUUCUGAAAGACUGCUGCUGAGCUCGGAAUCUGCUCCGUCACUUCGUGAUCAUCAUAAUUAGGGUUUUCUUUGUAAUACUUGAGAAUCUAGAUUCAGAUUGUUGUCAAAUUGGUGGAUUACGUUGUGGUUACUUAUGGACGGAGAGGAGUUAACCGAGCAGGAGACUGCAUUGUACGACCGCCAAAUUAGGGUUUGGGGUGCUGACGCUCAACGAAGAUUGAGCAAAUCUCACAUAUUAGUCUAUGGGAUGAAAGGGACUGCUGCCGAGUUUUGCAAGAACAUUGUAUUAGCGGGGGUUGGUAGUUUGACGUUGGUGGAUGACCGGGCUGUGACUGAAGAUGCAUUAUCUUCUAACUUUUUGAUACUGCCUGAUGAGAAUGUAUGUGCUGAGAAAACAGUUGCUGAGCUUUGCUGCAAUUCUCUAAAAGUAUUUAACCCAAUGGUUCGUGUUUCAGUUGAAAAAGGUUUGGCCCUUCUGUGCUCUUGCUUUUGAAAUAUGUCAAAGUCAACCUUGUUUUCUUAGCAUUAUUGUUUAAAAAAUAUUUGAUUUUCUAGUAUGGUUACAGAAAUGCCCUGGUUUGCUAAAUUCAGAAUAUAUGCAACUAAUUUAAAGCAAUAUAAAUAUCCAAAUUUCAGGUGAUCUGUCAAGCUUUGGUGGAGACUUCUUCGACAGGUUUGAUGUUGUCAUUGUCAGUUGUUGCACCCUCAUGACCAAAGUACUAGACAAUCUUUGUUCUUUUACUUAACAUAUGAUUAGGUUAUACUGACAGUUUUCUUUGUUACUUGUUUUGCACUUUUGGAGAGCCUACUUUUUCCCCAAUUUUCUUGAUUUUAUGCUUUACUGCAGAAAUUGAUCAAUGAGAAGUGCCGGAAGCUAUCAAAGCGUGUAGCUUUUUAUACAGUUGACUGCAGAAAUUCUUGUGGUGAGAUAUUUGUUGAUUUGCAGAAGCAUAUAUAUACAAAGGUGAUAGUCUACAUAUUUUUUUGGCUGCUAAGUGUUUGGUCCUAGAUAGUUUAUUCAAAUAUAACCAACUUAGCUUCAAAUCAUUUCUGUUGUAGGUGUUACAGUGCUGAUUUCUUGUUUUACUUCUUACAUUGACAACCAUCUCUUUCCUAUUUGUAUGCUCAAUGUCCAAUUAUAAGGACGUUGGCACAGAUGUGUCGUAUAAUUGACCUACUACCUCAUAUUGUAUGCUACAAUCAUUUUGGAUCACAGAGAUUUGGGAAUUAGUAGAUUGCUUGUUUGUUCAGUGGGAGUGUAGAGAAUGACUGGGUUCCCAUCUAAAAUACCUUUGUAGCCUUGUUUUAUAGAUGUAUUCUAUUUCUAUUUGUUAUUAUUUUGAGCUUGGACUUGGUCUUGUCUGGUCUGCUUCACAGCUCAUCUCUGGGGCUUUAUCUUAUAAAGUUACAGCUGAUAUUUGGUGCAAAAUUAUGGCUUUUAAGCAUCUUCAACAGGGGCACUAACUUUAUACUAUUUGUCAUUAUUGACAGAAAAAACUUGAUGAAAACAAUCAACCCACAACCGUUGAAUGUGAAUUGCAAUACCCAAGUUUUCAGGUAGUGCCAAAGUCUUGAAAUUUUUUAGUGAGUUUUGUGUAUAGUUGUGCUAAUUAAAAAAAAACUAUAAUUGUGUGAUCCAAUCUCCUGCUAUUUGUCUAAUUUCAAUGCACAGCAACAGUUAAAAGAUCUGGUAAAGCCAUAAAGUGUAUGGAUAUGCACUGGAUAUGGUAAAGUGACUAGUUUCAUGGAAGAAAUAGAAGUAAAAUCUUUCACAUUAUUGUUAAAAAUUUAAUUGAUUCUAUGUCAAUUCUCUAUCAACAAUCCAGCAAGCGCUUCUCUUAGUCGAGAAUUGAUGUGGAUGAGGAUCAAACUAAUGUAUAUCAUCAUCGAAAGAUAAUACUGUUGGUUUUUUAUGUUUAUUAAAAUUACAACAUUGGAAAAAUGGAAAGAACCAACCAAAUUGCCCACCAGGAAAGUGAACUAUAUUUUGCAUAAUUUCUCUAUUAUUGUACUCUUACAUUUUGUGACCAUUUUAAAUAUUACAUGCAUAAGGGAUUUGUUCUUCAUUAUCUGGACGGGCAUACAAACAUUUUUAUGCAACAUGCAUUUACAAUUUAGAGGUAACAAGCUUUUAAGCUUUAUUCCAAGCUUAGAUGGCGAUGGCAUUUGUUUUUAAAGUUGUAAAUAUUUUUUAUGGAUAAUAUUCUAAUAGCAUUAUGUAUUGUAUCCAGUUUACUGAUAGCCACAUGCUUGAUGCAGGAAUCAAUUUCAGUACCUUGGAGGAAACUCCCCAGGAGGGUGUCGAAGCUUUAUUUUGCCAUGAGAGGUGCGAUUACUUAUUCUGUUAUUGCUUUCUAUGGAAAUAAAAGAAAAGCUGAAAAGCAAGGAAAAGAGAAAGGAGGAAGCUAACCAAGCUACCUCAGACAAGUCACAGCAUUAUGAUAUGAUAUGGUGAAUGCAUCCAGAGCUGCUCAUCUAGGUUGUAUAACUUGUAUUUGGUACUUCGGAGCACAGAGUGAUACCUUGCAUAUGAGGCUGAGUUUAUUCCUGAUUGUCGUCAAAUCAGUUUCUUUGAUUUCUGGAGUAUGUAAUGAUAGUGUUUUGGCCUUCUCUUAGUAAAAAUAUCUUUGCAUAGUGUUUCUUCUCCAUCUCCAUGAAACUGGGUUUUUCAUAAAUUUGCUGGUGGUGGUUUGAAACUUGGCCUAUGCAUGGAAGAAUUACCUAUUUUAUCCUCCCUUUUUGCAGUGAUAGAAAGCUUUGAAGAGGCUGAGGGACGAAAUCCAGGGGAAAUUUCAAUGGAGGAUCUUCCUGCUGUUUUAAAGCUGAAAAAGGAACUUUGUGAGGCACAGUCGAUGAACGAAUCUCAUAUUCCUAAUGCCCUCCUGGAAAGAUUGGUGAUGGGUAAAAGAGAGUUCCCUCCAGUUUGUGCCAUCAUUGGAGGAAUCCUUGGACAGGUUGCAUUUCUUUUGAUUUCAUUGAAAUUAUCCAUGUUCUUUCAAACAUUAAAUACUUAAGUUUAUAUGUCUGACAUUAAAUCCUUUAGGAGGUAAUCAAAGCAAUAUCAGGCAAAGGUGAUCCUCUCCAGAAUUUUUUCUUCUUUGAUGCCAUGGACGGGAAAGGCGUAAUAGAGGAUAUAUCACCUCCUAACGUAUGAAAUUGUGCAUUUGUUUGUAAAUUUUAUUGUGGGGAACAGAUGAUGCAUGGGAUAAUUUUUAAUCUGAUGAUUUUCCAUGCUAGGAGAUAUUGACCCAAUGAUAGGAAUAUCAUUGACAGAUUUUUCAGCAGAUUUUGGACAUUAGAUUGUCGCUGAUGAACCUUUUAACUUGUGGCUCUCUGGUUGGAGCUUUUAUUUUUCUUAAUCAUGUUCAUACUGCUAAGUUAUGAUUGCAUUGCCAUGAUGCAACAUAUCUUGCAUGUGAGUGGUAUUCCUUUAAUAAGAGAUCUGAUAAGUGGCCAUUGAUGAUACGUUGCUUGUCCUGCAGCGAGAACAAGAAGCCAUUGUGUUUUGGGGAAAGAUAGAUUUCACUGGAGGCCUUAACCAGGCAAAAGAGUACAGUUAAAGAAAUCCUGGUUCGAGGGAUUCAGGAAAGAAGUGUCAUCAUGGUAGGCUGUGUUUGCCGAUACACGAGCUGCCCUGUUGCCACUACGUCUGAUAAAACCUGAAAACAACACUUUCUAGCGUAGAUUUCAAGGUAUUGAAUAUUUUUAAUGGGCUAAGGUGUUUCCUUGAUUCAUGGGUGUGGCCCAGACUGUUGGGCGCGUUCAAAAAUGUUCUUUUGAUAAUGGGAGGUGGGGGAUAUGCAAUCAGUUUGUCUCGUAAAUUAUAACUGAUACAAAAGGAAGCGCACCUGGGUCACACUUAUUCUUCACGUGGAAUUAUGUGGAUAAAUUUAUAUCCUUGUUAAAGAGGAAACAAGUGGCUUUAUGUUAAUUUAAAAAAAACAAUAAGUAAGAUUGUGAUGCACAUUGUUAUGAAGGUGAAAUUAUAUGAACCAGAUGCUUACUUAGGUCAGGGAAUGCGCUUGAAGCUGGAGGAAUCAUAUACGGAACAGCCGCAAGGCAAACUGUGGAGAUUAGAGAACGAAAGAAAAAGAAAAAGAAAUCAGAUUAUAGGAACCAAACAGAAUUGUAACCCUCCUGUCUCCUGCGAAGGGUCGCAAAUCCUAGUAACCAACACAAUGUUUAGGGAAAGUGCACAAAUCUCCAGCUCAGAAAGGUCGUCAAGAUUCCAUUGUUGAAGUAAUAGUCCAGAUUUUUUCUUCCAUGACAUCGUCGAGUUGUAUUCGUAUCAACUAUCUUAAGCUUGAGAAGCUCCAAACAGAAAUUCAAAAAUUAUAAAGUGGGUAGUUAUUAUCUCGCUAUAAUCUAAUGUCGUUAUAAUCCAGUGAAUCAGGUUCAAAUCAACGCCCGCUAACCUCAUUAUUGGUUCAAAAACACCACAAUCCCCAAGUCAUUAUAGGAUACGGUACAUAGAGACCCCACCAUGGAAAGACCAAGUAAACAAGGGAAAGAAACAGAAGAAAAACUACACCAGCAGUAUAAGCAUUUGGAAAAACAAUGGGACAACAUAAAACAAUUAAAACCGAGAACCUUGUGUAGAUCAUCAACAGAUUCAAUAGUCAUGGUUAGGGCCCUUCAUCUCCUGGACAACUCUCCGAGAAAACUCAUGUCUUCACUUCAACACAGAAGGUCACCUUCAGACGGUGGCGGAGCAUGGAAGGUAAGGUACAAUGAUUUGGCAGUUGAAGAGAUACUGAGAGAGAGAAAGGCAGCCAUUGAGAGUGGUAAAUUGAAGGGAAGACGGCUUUUUGACGCUGCGGAGGGUGCAAGUGAGGUGGGUUCUGGAGAGAGACAGGAGAUAAUAUCCAGUGGCUGGAAUGGUUUGCUUCAAGAGAGUGAAGUGAGGUCACUGUUCUCCUACGAUUCCGAUGAUGAAAAGGAAAAUGUUGAAAGCAAAGAAGAAGAGUUGUAUCCUGUUCAUUGUGGUUCUUCAUCAUCGUCAACUUCUUCUUAUAUCUGUGAUGACUGUAUCGAGGUGGCAGUGGCAAGUGAGAAGAAAGAGAAGAAAGCUGUAAAGAUUGUUGCUGGAUAUGGCACUAGAUUGACGACCGUCAAGGUUUGGCUUGCAAUUUUUUUAAUUCUGUGUGCCAUUGGUAUCAUCUCAAUGAAGAGACUUAGUGGCAAUGGAAAAGUAAAAGAGGUGAUUCUAGUCCCUACUUGAUCUCUCUUUGUUCUGUUCAGAUCGAUUCUUAUCUGAGGAGAGGUUAAUUUACUGAUCUAUGCAUUUUAUGUAAGAAAGUUUCUUCUCUUUUUAAUUGAAGAUUUUAAAUUUUACCAUACAUAUAAUAUAUAUCAUGGACAAUGUGAGAUAACAUGAUUAAUCUUGGCACAGGGUCCUCCCCCAUCCAUGCCAAGGGAAAAUUAAUUAAUUGAAGUUCAUGUUUCUGUCAUACGUAGAAGAUAAUAAAUUCCCCAGUUGUAAUUCCUGCAUGGUUCGUAGAAAGGAGUGUGUAUGUUUGCAACUACCAGAGGAUCUCUUCAAAGUUAUCAGAACCAGUGUCGGUUGGAUACUUGGAUGUGUAUGCAUCCCUUCAUUAAGUGACUCACUACAAUCUCUUCGUCUUUAGAAUUGCGUUGGACUUGCUUCUUCAAAACUGCAUCCAUUAUGCAUGCACUUGUAAUAACUUCUGUGCAAAUAAACCAACCCAAUUUCAACUCAAUUCUCAAAGCGGAGACAAGAUUAUAAGCACUAAAAUUGGGAACUUCUGCUCAUAUUUCUCCACCGAUGACCAUCAAUCCAUCAUCCAAUAUGUCAACCAGACUCCUUGUCUGAAAUGCAAAUCUAUGCAAGCCUUGUUAUCUCCUUAUUCUUCAUCAUCCCCUUGUUGGGUUUGGAGGAAGAAAAAACUAAGAACAUAUUUAUGCUAUAACAAGUAGAAGAGAAAAGACAUAAAUUCAUUACUAAAAAUAGAAGAUUUACAAACACAAAUUUAAAGCUUUUUUCUUUCUUUUCUCCCUCAUUUUGCUAGAUCUCUCAAA